AGUGAACGCUGGCGGUAGGCCUAACACAUGCAAGUCGAACGGCAGCACAGUAAGAGCUUGCUCUUACGGGUGGCGAGUGGCGGAGGGGUGAGGCACACAACGGAACUUCCUUUUUGGUGGGGGCAAACGUAGGGAAACUUACGCUAUUACCGCAUACGACCUACGGGUGAAAGCUGGGGAUUUUAGGACGUUUUUCGAUUGACUGUGCCGUUGUCGGAUUAGCCAGUUGGUGGGGUAAAGGCCAACCAAGGCGACGAUCGGUAGUUGGUCUGAGAGGAUGAUCAGCCACACUGGAACUGAGACACGGUCCAGACUCCUACGGGAGGCAGCAGUAGGGAAUAUUGGACAAUGGGCGCAAGCCUGAUCCAGCCAUACCGCGUGAGUGAAGAAGGCCUUCGGUUUGUAAAGCCCUUUUGUUGGGAAAGAAAAGCAGCAGGUUAAUACCCCGCUGUUCUGACGGUACCCAAAGAAUAAGCACCGGCUAACUUCGUG
rnacentral:rRNA from 1 species